rnacentral:tRNA from 1 species
AUUUUAAAAAGCUUCUAACUUUUAAUAAAGCAUAUCAUGUUUAUAUUUCUU